AUGGCCAUAUCAUGUUGAAACACCAGUUCUUGUAUGAUCACAGGAGUUAAGCAAUGUCGAGCUUGGUCAGUACAUAGAUGGGUGACCAUUUGGGAAUACCAGUUCCUGUA